rnacentral:rRNA from 1 species
UACGUAGGGCGCAAGCGUUGUCCGGAAUUAUUGGGCGUAAAGAGCUCGUAGGCGGUCUGUCGCGUCGGAAGUGAAAACCUGGGGCUUAACCCCGGGCCUGCUUUCGAUACGGGCAGACUAGAGUUCGGCAGGGGAGACUGGAAUUCCCGGUGUAGCGGUGAAAUGCGCAGAUAUCAGGAGGAACACCGGUGGCGAAGGCGGGUCUCUGGGCCGAUAUUGACGCUGAGGAGCGAAAGCGUGGGGAGCGAACAGG